GUGAACGCUGGCGGCAGGCCUAACACAUGCAAGUCGAGCGGCAGCGGGUCCUUCGGGAUGCCGGCGAGCGGCGGACGGGUGAGGAAUGCAUUGGAAUCUGCCUCUAUGUGGGGGAUAACGUAGGGAAACUUACGCUAAUACCGCAUACGACCUACGGGUGAAAGCCGGGGACCUUCGGGCCUGGCGCAGAGAGAUGAGCCGAUGCCGGAUUAGCUAGUUGGCGGGGUAAAGGCCCACCAAGGCGACGAUCCGUAGCUGGUCUGAGAGGAUGAUCAGCCACACUGGAACUGAGACACGGUCCAGACUCCUACGGGAGGCAGCAGUGGGGAAUAUUGGACAAUGGGCGCAAGCCUGAUCCAGCCAUGCCGCGUGAGUGAAGAAGGCCUUCGGGUUGUAAAGCUCUUUUGUUGGGGAAGAAAAGCUUCUGGUUAAUACCCGGGAGUCCUGACGGUACCCAAAGAAUAAGCACCGGCUAACUUCGU
rnacentral:rRNA from 1 species